rnacentral:rRNA from 1 species
CACGUAUGGGGCGAGCGUUGUUCGGAAUUACUGGGCGUAAAGGGCGUGUAGGCGGUUUAGCAAGCCUGGUGUGAAAGUCUCCGGCCCAACCGGGGGAUGGCACUGGGAACUGCUAGGCUUGAGUCCUGGAGGGGGAGCUGGAAUUCCUGGUGUAGGGGUGAAAUCUGUAGAGAUCAGGAAGAACACCGGUGGCGAAGGCGGGCUCCUGGCCAGGUACUGACGCUGAGGCGCGAAAGCGUGGGGAGCGAACAGG